CGUGGGUAACCUGCCCAAGAGAUCGGGAUAACACCUGGAAACAGAUGCUAAUACCGGAUAACAACAGAUGAUGCCUAUCAACUGUUUAAAAGAUGGUUCUGCUAUCACUCUUGGAUGGACCUGCGGUGCAUUAGCUAGUUGGUAGGGUAACGGCCUACCAAGGCGAUGAUGCAUAGCCGAGUUGAGAGACUGAUAGGCCACAUUGGGACUGAGACACGGCCCAAACUCCUACGGGAGGCAGCAGGC
rnacentral:rRNA from 1 species